UCCAUGGUAUCAGGGUGCACGCUUAAGC
rnacentral:sRNA from 1 species